rnacentral:lncRNA from 1 species
GGAUGUGAGGGCGAUCUGGCUGCGACAUCUGUCACCCCAUUGAUUGCCAGGGUUGGUUCGGCUGAUCUGGCUGGCUAGGCGGGUGUCCCCUUCCUCCCUCACUGCUCCAUGUGCGUCCCUCCUGAAGCUGUGUGCUCGGUCGAAGAGGACGACCAUACCCGAUAGAGGAGGACUGGUCUUCAGUCAAGGGUAUACGAGUAGCUGCGCUCCCCUGCUAGAACCUCCAAAGAAGCUCUCAAAAGAAGACCUACAAACAGCCAACAAAUGUGAGAAAGAGCUCAACAUCACAAAUCAUCAGAGAAAUGCAAAUCAAAACCACAAUGAGAUACCAUCUCU